rnacentral:rRNA from 1 species
CCUUCCGUUGGUGAACCUGCGGAAGGAUCAUUACCGAGUGAGGGCCCUCUGGGUCCAACCUCCCACCCGUGUUUAUUUUACCUUGUUGCUUCGGCGGGCCCGCCUUAACUGGCCGCCGGGGGGCUUACGCCCCCGGGCCCGCGCCCGCCGAAGACACCCUCGAACUCUGUCUGAAGAUUGUAGUCUGAGUGAAAAUAUAAAUUAUUUAAAACUUUCAACAACGGAUCUCUUGGUUCCGGCAUCGAUGAAGAACGCAGCGAAAUGCGAUACGUAAUGUGAAUUGCAAAUUCAGUGAAUCAUCGAGUCUUUGAACGCACAUUGCGCCCCCUGGUAUUCCGGGGGGCAUGCCUGUCCGAGCGUCAUUGCUGCCCUCAAGCACGGCUUGUGUGUUGGGCCCCGUCCUCCGAUCCCGGGGGACGGGCCCGAAAGGCAGCGGCGGCACCGCGUCCGGUCCUCGAGCGUAUGGGGCUUUGUCACCCGCUCUGUAGGCCCGGCCGGCGCUUGCCGAUCAACCCAAAUUUUUAUCCAGGUGACCU